GGCUUUAUAUUCAUAAAUGAUAUUAGACUGCAAUUCUAAAGGAGUAAAUAUAUUUUUACUAAAGCUU
rnacentral:tRNA from 1 species